rnacentral:rRNA from 1 species
UACGUAGGGUGCGAGCGUUAAUCGGAAUUACUGGGCGUAAAGUGUGCGCAGGCGGCGUCGCAAGUCGAGUGUGAAAGCCCCGAGCUUAACUUGGGAAUUGCGCUCGAAACUACGAUGCUGGAGUGUGGCAGAGGAAGGUGGAAUUCCACGUGUAGCGGUGAAAUGCGCAGAUAUCAGGAGGAACACCGGUGGCGAAGGCGGGUCUCUGGGCCGAUACUGACGCUGAGGAGCGAAAGCGUGGGGAGCGAACAGG